rnacentral:snRNA from 1 species
AUACUUACCUGGCAGGGGAGAUACCAUGAUCAUGAAAGUGGUUUUCCCAGGGUGAGGCUCAUCCAUUGCACUUUGGGUGUCCUGAUCCCUGUGAUUUCCCCACAUGUGGGAAACUCGACUGCAUAAUUUGUGGUAGUGGGGGACUGUGUUUGCACUUUCCCCUG